GCCUGACUAGCUCAGUCAGUAGAGUAUGAGACUCUUAAUCUCAGGGUCAUGGGUUCCAGCCCCAUGUUGGGCA
rnacentral:tRNA from 2 species